GAUGAACGCUAGCGGGAGGCCUAACACAUGCAAGCCGAGCGGUAGAGUUUCUUCGGAAACUUGAGAGCGGCGCACGGGUGCGUAACACGUGUGCAACCUACCUUUAUCUGGGGGAUAGCCUUUCGAAAGGAAGAUUAAUACCCCAUAAUAUAAUGAUUGGCAUCAAUUAUUAUUGAAAACUCCGGUGGAUAGAGAUGGGCACGCGCAAGAUUAGAUAGUUGGUGAGGUAACGGCUCACCAAGUCAAUGAUCUUUAGGGGUCCUGAGAGGGAGAUCCCCCACACUGGUACUGAGACACAGACCAGACUCCUACGGGAGGCAGCAGUGAGGAAUAUUGGACAAUGGGUGAGAGCCUGAUCCAGCCAUCCCGCGUGAAGGAUGACGGUCCUAUGGAUUGUAAACUUCUUUUGUACAGGGAUAAACCUACCCUCGUGAGGGUAGCUGAAGGUACUGUACGAAUAAGCACCGGCUAACUCCGUG
rnacentral:rRNA from 1 species